UUGAGAGACCACAUCUGGAAAGAUUCUUCUGGGUUGUGAGGACUUUCUGCAGCGUCCUGAGGUGGUACAGUGCAUCACAUGGUAAGAGGAGUUAUACAGCAAAUUCAGGAGUUGAUUUUUAUUCAAUUUAGAAAUACAUCUUAGACACUGAGGAAUUGAUUCCCAUAUUUGUUUCAGUAGGAUUGGUACCAAUUCUGUCGAGGAACUAGAGAAACAAAAACAAACCAAACCGAAGCCCAGCAGAAGAACAUAAAUAACAAAGAUCAGCGCAGAACCAAAUGAAAUUGGAACAACAACAAAAAUACAAAAGAUAAAUGAAAGAAAAAGCUGACUCCUUGAAAAGACAAAUAAAAUUGAUAGAACAUUAGUGAGAUUAACCAAGAAGAGAGAAGAUUCAAAUAAGCUCUACUAGAAAUAAAAUGGGAGAUAUUACAACCGAUAACACAGAAAUAAGAAAGAUUAUUCGAGGCUACAAUAAAUACCUUUACACACAAACUAGAAAACCUCAAGGACAUGGAUAAAUUCCUGGAAAUAUACAGCCCUCCUAGAUGAAACCAGGAAGAAAUUGAAACUCUGAAUACACCAAUAACCAGGAGUGAGAUUGAAAUGGUAAUCAAAAAGCUUGCCAAUAAAAAAA